ensembl:lncRNA
GGGGGAGGAGGAGACCAGGGGGUCAGAGGUCAUGGCCCCUGAAGGAGGAGGAGACCAGGGGGUCAGAGGUCACUGGCUCCUGAAGGAGGAGACCAGGGGGUCAGAGGUCAUGGCCCCUGAAGGAGGAGGAGGAGACCAGGGGGUCAGAGGUCACCGGCUCCUGAAGGAGGAGGAGGAGGAGACGACCCUGGUUUUAUUUGUGUCAUGCGAUGCUAUAUCAAAUCCCCCAUCCUCGUUUUACAUAUAAGGUGGAGUAGUGACUUUUGUUCAACUUUUAUAAGAUAUGGUUGAUCUGCAUAUUGUAGUGGUCAUCAGAAUGGGCCCGAAGACAACGGUACUUUUUAAGGGACAGACGUUCUUUGUUUGAUAUGCAAUAUAAAUAUUUAUCAUAUUUGUAAUUCUGUUCACAUUUAUUAAAUGGUGUUUUAUAAUAAACCAACAGGUUUUACACACCACACAUUCACUCUUACUAUAAAUGUACUAAGCAUACAAAUAGUACACUUAUUAAGUAGAAAUGUUACUUCUUGGUUAGGCCUAUUUAUCGCACAUAAUAUAUUAUCACAUAUAUCAUUACAUAAAUAAUUACUUUUCUCAGAUCCAGAUAGUUUAUAUGAUUAGAUCCUCCGGGUUUUUUGUGUUCAUCAUCAACACAGUGUUUUUAAAUGUCUUACAAAUGAAAUGUAUUAUAAAGUGUAACCAAUAAUGGAAACAUCCAAAUGCAUUUCAAAUCAUAUUUCUAAUGGCAGUAGUACCCGCUUCCACCAGCAGAGGUCCCUAACAGCCAGCUGAACGGAAACGGCGAAGGAGCGACUACAGAGUAUACGCAUCACAGAAUGUCCUAGGUCAACUGUAAUCGACCUCUCCUUCUUAUUGAUCGGACUAUAAAGCCUGCGGGUGUUUGUGUGGCCGACAGACACACACACA